GAUGAACGCUGGCGGCGUGCCUAAUACAUGCAAGUCGAGCGAACAGACGAGGAGCUUGCUCCUCUGACGUUAGCGGCGGACGGGUGAGUAACACGUGGAUAACCUACCUAUAAGACUGGGAUAACUUCGGGAAACCGGAGCUAAUACCGGAUAAUAUAUUGAACCGCAUGGUUCAAUAGUGAAAGACGGUUUUGCUGUCACUUAUAGAUGGAUCCGCGCCGCAUUAGCUAGUUGGUAAGGUAACGGCUUACCAAGGCAACGAUGCGUAGCCGACCUGAGAGGGGGAUAGCCCCCACAGGAAAUGAGAAACGGGGCAGACACCCCAGGGGGGGACAGGUGGGGGAAAUUCCGCGAAGGGGGAAAGCCCCAAGGGGCGACGCCGCGGGAGUGAUAAAGGGUUGUGCGUCGUGAAAAUCUGUUUUAUGGGGAAAACAAAAGUGUAAAAAAAAAUACGCGCCUUUACAGGACCCAUACAAAAAGCCCCGCGGAAAACCGC
rnacentral:rRNA from 1 species